rnacentral:pre_miRNA from 1 species
GUGAGCCAGGAAGAGGAAGAAAGAGAGAGCCUAAGAGCAGUGGGAAUGGGAACAUGGAGGAAAGCCUAAAAACCAAAUUUCUUCCUCCAGCAAUGGAGGUGGAAAUUUGGUUUGGUUUUUUCCCGAUGCCUCCCAUUCCUAUCGUUCUUAAGCACUUCUUCCUCUUCCUUUCAGCUCGC